rnacentral:rRNA from 1 species
AUUAGAUACCCUGGUAGUCCACGCCGUAAACGGUGGGUGCUAGUUGUGGGCCACAUUCCACGUGGUCCGUGACGAAGUUAACACAUUAAGCACCCCGCCUGGGGAGUACGGUCGCAAGACUAAAACUCAAAGGAAUUGACGGGGGCCCGCACAAGCGGCGGAGCAUGCGGAUUAAUUCGAUGCAACGCGAAGAACCUUACCAAGGCUUGACAUAUAGAGGAAACGUGCAGAAAUGUACGCCCCGCAAGGUCUCUAUACAGGUGGUGCAUGGUUGUCGUCAGCUCGUGUCGUGAGAUGUUGGGUUAAGUCCCGCAACGAGCGCAACCCUCGUCCUAUGUUGCCAGCACGUAAUGGUGGGAACUCAUGGGAGACUGCCGGGGUCAACUCGGAGGAAGGUGGGGAUGACGUCAAAUCAUCAUGCCCCUUAUGUCUUGGGCUUCACGCAUGCUACAAUGGCCAGUACAAAGGGCUGCAAUACCGUAAGGUGGAGCGAAUCCCAAAAAGCUGGUCUCAGUUCGGAUUGAGGUCUGCAACUCGACCCCAUGAAGUCGGAGUUGCUAGUAAUCGUAGAUCAGCAACGCUACGGUGAAUACGUUCCCGGGGCUUGUACACACCGCCCGUCACAUCACGAAAGUCGGUAACACCCAAAGUCAGUGGCCCAACCGCAAGGAGGGAGCUGCCAAAGGUGGGAUCGGUGAUUGGGAUGAAGUCGUAACAAGGUAUC